rnacentral:rRNA from 1 species
UAAAAAGGCCAUGCCACCCUAAACACGCCCAAUCUCGUCUGAUCUUGGAAGCUAAGCAGGGUCAGAUCUGGUUAGUAUUUGGAUGGGAGACCUCCUAGGAAUACUGGGUGCUAUAGGCC